UUUAAAUGCCCAUCUUGUUUUGUUUUUGCAGCUUGAGAAGCUUGAUACAGACCUGAAAAAUUAUAAAAGUAACUCAAUCAAAGAGAGCAUCAGAUGUGGACAUGAUGAUUUAGGGGAUCAUUACUUUGAGUGUGGAGACCUGAACAAUGCAUUAAAGUGUUACUCAAGAGCCAGAGACUACUGCACAACAGCAAAACAUGUCGUCAAUA